UCCCCUCUGCCGCCCCCUGCGCUCACCUUCUCUCCCUUCAGCGGGGAGAUCCUUCAUGUACUAUUGCAUUUCUAUUCCAAAUCCCCCUUUCAGACAUGAAGAGAAACAAAGAGCAGCCCAAAUCACGGCGGCCCCGCGGAGCGCGGGGGUGAGAGGAUUAUAACUUUGCCGUCGCCCCGGACGAUUGAAACAAAUCAAGAUGAAUUGCCGCUCGGCCCUCCCUCCCUCCCGGCGGCCCUCAACCCCUGGGCGGGCAAGGAGGGGCUGCAGGGGGGUGCGGGGCUGCUCCUGCGGCACCCGGCGAAGAAAUUCCGCAGGCGCUCAGAGCCUCUGUGCUUGGGGCGGGGGGAGGCGGUGCCCCCUCCUCAAUACCCGGCCUUCCCGCCGCUCCGAACCAACGCCGUUCCCGUCGUUUUUUUCCGCACCGUGUCAACACCUAACAUGGGUGAGUGUCACAGGGGCUUCAAAAAAUGUCCCCUUCUUCCUCCUUGUCCUCUCCCUCCUCGCUGGGCGGCGGGCGGGAGGUCUGGGGGCGACGGCGGCUAGGGGCGGGCAUCUGGGACCCCCCCGGGGUGGGGGGGAAGUGGAGAAACUCGAGUGCUUUUCUGCCCCAACCGUCCCGGCCGGACGGGCUCGGAAAACCAGCAAGCGGCUCGCUGCGGGUAUCGGCACGGUAUUUUACAUGCUCUUCUCGGCUCUCGUUUCUUCUCGGCGGCGUUGGUUAUUUAUAUUCCUCUCAUAUAUAUAAAAUAUCCAUGUAUUUAUUUAGAAUAUGUGUGUGCGUGGAGAAGGAAUAUGUAUGUAAUAUAUAGUAUACGCGUACACGUUUAGAAGUAUAAUAUAUACCGUAUCAGACAAAAAAAAAAAAAAUUGGAUCAGAGUUUUCCACUCUACUGUGUAAUGGCUCAAAUGAUGAAAAAUCAACGUGACCGCUCAGAGAGGACAUAAAUCACUCCGAGUGUAAUCUGAAUUUCUCUUUCUCCCCCUAGCUGAAGCCUUGAGGGUCAUCAUUUUUCUGCGCCACUUGACCAAAGAUAUAAUGUUUUGAUUAGGUUGUAAAUCAAAAUCUUGGCUCGCGGUUUUUCUUUUUCUGAUUUUCUUCUUUUUUUUUUUUUUUUUUUUUUCCGGGGUCUUCCCCUUAUCUGCGGUGGCAACGCGAACCUGGAACAAUGGAAGCCGUAGAGAGGGCUUGGAAAAGCCACAACGAAAUGAGGGAUUUGCAAAGUGCCUAUUUGCAGAAGCGGCGGGGGAGAGGGGUGAAACACCGGCCUCGCACCCCUCAACACCCCCCACCCCCGGGAGCCCUCGGCAAGGGGCCUGCUGCUCGUCCCCGCGCGCCGGGCGUGCGAGCGGGCAGCGCCGUCUGCUUCCCAAUCCACAUCCUAAUCCACAUCCCAAUCCACAUCCUAACCCACAGUCCCGCCGGCCGGGGCAUCCCUGCUGCCUUGGCCCCGCCGCCCACCGCCUCGGCUCUGCUCUUUUGUUUUCGGACGGGGCCUCCGCACUUUGGACGGUGGCGGCGCGCCCAGGGCAGGGCUAAACGCGGUGUCGGUGUGUCCCGGGAGGCUCUCCCGCGGGCCUCUCCCUGCUCGGCUUUGUGCUACUUCUCGCCCGCCCGCGUGUGCAGGCACACCGGCCUCCGCAUACCUGUACCAGGAAAUAAAAGAAACUUUUCCGGGUUU